rnacentral:sRNA from 2 species
AGUGUCAAUGGUAAGCGGACUGGAAUGGUUCAGCGGUUUGUGCUGAUCCAUGAAAGGAGCAUUAAGGAAUUGACACGUGCAGCUGAU